GCACGCGGGUAGGGCAGGGGAAGGAGAAGACGAGAACACUUCCGGCAAGGCUCCGCAGAGGCGUGGUUUGUCUUCCCUUCAGGCGCAGGCGCAGUCGGAACUGCGGCGCCAGGAGGGGCGGGACCCAUAGCUGCAGAGCCCGCUAAGUGUGACUGAGGGGAGAGGAGGAGGGGACGGUUCUGGAAGCUGCUGGAAAGCGCCCGAGUGACGGAGGUGACGCCAGCGGCCAGGGGGCGGAGCGUGAUUAAAAUUAGUGCGCGGCCCUGAGCGGAGGGAUUACGCGGCUGAGGAAGGAGUGGUCGCCCGGCGGCGGCGUGCGCGCAGGCCCAGUGACCUGCGUGUGGUCCCCACUGGCCAGCCAUCAUGGCGGCCGCUUCCCAUAGUUCGUUCUCCCGGCCGCGGCGCCACCGUACGUGUUCACAAAGGGUCACCACACACGGAGCUGCCCCUCCCUUCCCUAAACCCCUCCUCGGAGGCCAGGGGCUUUUCCUUGCUUCCCUCUCAGAUCUGCUCACGGUAGAGGAAUGUGUGUGUAACUUCACAAGUGAGUUCUGAUUAGCCCACAGCAACCAGCAUAACCUCACAAAUGCAAUGCAGUUAAAAAGAAGGAAACGUCACAGACUAGUCCUUUGGAGGCUGGCGGCCAGCGGUCCAACAUCACCCGCCUCACGACCAUCUGCAGGAAGACCAUCACUUGGUGUAUUGCUGGUGAUGGAGGAGUGAGUCAGAACAUAUCCCUGCACUGCGGCCCACUAAGCUGCCAGCGUGGGACCCCGUUUUGAGAUCACAUAAGGAUGCACCUCUGCCAAGUGUUGCCUGUUCCAGUGUAAGGUGAUCAGAGCUCUGGAACCCACCAGUGAUGACUUUCAGUGGAUGUUCUCAGCGUUAAAUAAAAUCUAAAAGUCAUGA